UACGUAGGCAGCAAGCGUUGUUCGGAGUUACUGGGCGUAAAGGGUGUGUAGGCGGUUCUCUAAGUCUGGAGUGAAAUCUCCCGGCUCAACUGGGAGGGUGCGCCGGAAACUGGAGAGCUAGAGUACUGGAUGGGAGAGUGGAAUUCCUGGUGUAGCGGUGAAAUGCGUAGAUAUCAGGAGGAACACCUGUGGUGUAGACGGCUCUCUGGACAGUAACUGACGCUGAGACACGAAAGCGUGGGUAGCAAACAGG
rnacentral:rRNA from 1 species